GACGAACGCUGGCGGCGUGCUUAGCACAUGCAAGUCGAACGAUGAACCGGUUUCGGCCGGGGAUUAGUGGCGAACGGGUGCGUAACACGUGGGCAAUCUGCCCUGCACUCUGGGAUAAGCCCGGGGAACUGGGUCUAAUACCGGAUACGACACUCCGAGGCAUCUUGGGGUGUGGAAAGUUCCGGCGGUGCAGGAUGAGCCCGCGGCCUGUCAGCUUGUUGGUGGGGUAAUGGCCUACCAAGGCGACGACGGGUAGCCGGCCUGAGAGGGUGACCGGCCACACUGGGACUGAGACACGGCCCAGACUCCUACGGGAGGCAGCAGUGGGGAAUAUUGCACAAUGGGCGAAAGCCUGAUGCAGCGACGCCGCGUGAGGGAUGACGGCCUUCGGGUUGUAAACCUCUUUCAGCAGGGAAGAAGCGAAAGUGACGGUACCUGCAGAAGAAGCACCGGCUAACUACGUG
rnacentral:rRNA from 1 species